GGGGAGAGGAAAGACCGGCUGGGAAGCCGGAAGCCGGAGGACGAGGGGACCCGGGGGGCGAGAAAAUCAACGAACAUAACCUCAGGCGAGGAUUACACAAAGAGGGUGAGGAAGCCCUUUGUGCAAACACAUGGAAAAGCUCCAAGCGAUAAUUCAAAGGGAGAAAGAACGGGAGGUGCAGAACAGCCCACAACCUGUUCUCUCUGUGUGAAAUCCCAGUGCUGGGUCUGCAAGACCUGGAGGGAGACAGAGGGAACUGGCAACAUUGUCUGAAGCCCAGGACAGACUUCCUACACUCUAUCCUUUCCCUGCUGUCUCAACUUGAAACCAUGUGACUAUGUUCCACAUUCCACAGCAUGAAAGGAACAAGCAAUGGAGGGUGAUAAAAACAAGAGUAAAGUCACAGCUGACUCUGUAUGUGCUUGACAAAUACGAGCCCAUCUGUUCCUCCCUGUUUUAUGUGAAUGAAAAGGGGCCACACACUAAACCCAACAAGCUCAGGGGAGGCUUGUGCGACGGCCUUACAAACACGGAGACCUAAAGUGACUGCAUAAGGAUGGUAGGAAAUGAAAAACUUUCUAGUUCGGGCCCAUCCGAAUGAGCAAGUUCAAUGCCUCCAGCAGCUGGAGCUGGGCAGGAGCUUGGAUAGCUCUCUUCUGAUAGUGAUGGGCUGGAUGCUGGGAUAACAUCCUGCCCGGGUACCUCCCCCAGCUCUAGACCUUGGCCUUUAGCUUAGGCCAAGGCAACUGUUUCGGUUGCCUGAAACAAAGGUCAGGUGGAGGAGGAAGAUUCAAAGAGAGAGAGGCAACUAUGGUGCGGUACUGAGUGUGGCUGCUGAACUUGGAGCUGUGCUUCCUUCUCCCACCUUCCCUUCCCAUCUCCGGAACUCUUCCAAGGGCCAAGCUGAACCUCUCCAUAUGGUAAGAGUUGGAGCAGAAGGGAUGGCCAAUAAAUAGCAGGGGAUUCUAAAACAACAACAACAA